rnacentral:tRNA from 2 species
GGAAGGCAAUCGCAUCGGGUGGUGCGGCCGGGCUUCAAACCCGGUUGGGGACGUCAGCCGUUCCCGGGAUGGUUCGACUCCAUCUGCUUUCCGCCA